AGGACGCCGAAGGUGGGGCUAAUGACUGGGGUGAAGUCGUAACAAGGUAGCCGUACCGGAAGGUGCGGCUGGAUCACCUCCUAACAGGGAGACAACAAAAUGUUUAAUAUUAUUAUUUUGUCACCUUAGGUCGAUCGGUAUCUCACAUCCUUAAUUUAUUAAGGAUUUCAUUUUCUAAGUUUUUCUAGGUCACACCCAUUAUUUUUCCUGGGCCAUUAGCUCAGGUGGUUAGAGCGCACCCCUGAUAAGGGUGAGGUCCCUGGUUCAAGUCCAGGAUGGCCCAUAUCUCUAUGUUGGGGGUAUAGCUCAGUUGGUAGAGCGCCUGCUUUGCAAGCAGGAUGUCAGCGGUUCGAGUCCGCUUACCUCCACUGAUUACAACCUCUUCCAUAAUAUUCAGAAGGGAAAUUUUUAAGGUGUGAUCAAAAUUCUGAACGAAUCUAGCUUCCUAAUUAAACCUAUAUUAAGAUGCUGGACUCAUUGAAUUAAUUUCAUUGUUUUCAGAGAACCUUGACAACUGCAUAGAUUUUUUUAAAGACAAUAAGCAUCUUUAAUGAUGCAGAUUUAUUAUUUGUGCUAAUGCAUUAAUAACAAUUCUAUUAAGCUGAUGCUUCAAUUUUUGAAGUUAUUGGUCAAGCUACAAAGGGCUCACGGAGGAUACCUAGGCAC
rnacentral:misc_RNA from 1 species